rnacentral:ncRNA from 2 species
AUUCUAUGCUAGGGGUGCUGUAAAGCUGAGAGGGCUACCUAGCCCAACCCUAUGAACCUGAUUCGGGUAAUGCCGACGGAGGGAAGCAAUGACUCAUUUAU